rnacentral:rRNA from 1 species
UACGUAGGGUGCGAGCGUUAAUCGGAAUUACUGGGCGUAAAGCGUGCGCAGGCGGUUCGUUAAGUUCGUUGUGAAAGCCCCGGGCUCAACCUGGGAACUGCAAUGGAAACUGGCGGGCUUGAGUGUGGCAGAGGGGGGUGGAAUUCCGCGUGUGGCAGUGAAAUGCGUAGAGAUGCGGAGGAACACCGAUGGCGAAGGCAGCCCCCUGGGCCAACACUGACGCUCAGGCACGAAAGCGUGGGGAGCAAACAGG